GACGAACGCUGGCGGCGUGCCUAAUGCAUGCAAGUCGAGCGACGCAUGCCUGGUUCGUAAGAACCGGGUAUGACGGAGCGGCGAACGGGUGAGUAACACGUGAGCAACCUGCCCCGAAGACCGGGAUAGCCCAGGGAAACCUGGAUUAAUACCGGAUACCCUCGGACUCCCGCAUGGGAGAUCGAGGAAAAGCUUUUGUGCUUCGGGAUGGGCUCGCGGCCUAUCAGCUUGUUGGUGGGGUAACGGCCUACCAAGGCAUCGACGGGUAGCUGGUCUGAGAGGACGAUCAGCCACACUGGGACUGAGACACGGCCCAGACUCCUACGGGAGGCAGCAGCAGGGAAUCUUGCGCAAUGGGCGAAAGCCUGACGCAGCAACGCCGCGUGGGGGAUGACGGCCUCGGGUUGUAAACCCCUUUCAGGAGGGAAGAAAUUGACGGUACCUCCAGAAGAAGCCCCGGCCAACUACGUGCCAGCAGCCGCGGUAAUACGUAGGGGGCGAGCGUUGUCCGGAAUUAUUGGGCGUAAAGAGCUCGUAGGCGGCUCAGCAAGUCGGCGGUGAAAUCCCGAGGCUCAACCUCGGAACUGCCGUCGAUACUGCUGUGGCUAGAAUCUGGUAGAGGAGAAUGGAAUUCCGGUGUAGCGGUGAAAUGCGCAGAUAUCGGGAGGAACACCAGUAGCGAAGGCGGUUCUCUGGGCCAGUACUGACGCUGAGGAGCGAAAGCGUGGGGAGCAAACA
rnacentral:rRNA from 1 species